ACCCAAUCAUAAAAAAUUACAAAUAAUUUAAUAAAUAAAAAUAAAAAUCUAAAAGUAAAAGUAAAAGUCUAAAACUAAAUCUAAAAGAGUAACUCACGAUAGAAAUAAAAUAAAAUCCCUAACUAAGAAGCCCUUAACCUUCAAAAUCCCUAAUUGAAAUCUGAAAUCUCCCAAAAUCUUUCUAUUGUCACUAGACUGCCAGCCACCUUUGUGAACCGUCCGGCGUCUACAGGUCACCAUCACCGGCGAGUUGAGGGACCAAGAAGGAGGAAACCAAAUUGACAAUAGAAAAUGAGAGGGUUUGGGAACUGCUUGAUUCGUUUUUUCUUUUUUUACUAGCAAGACCACUCUUGAAAGCUAACGGUAUGGUAAAACUGUUAAAAAGAGUUUGAAUCUUAAUAUGAUGAUAUGACUAUAAAAAUAGUUUGAACCUUGUACCAUGUGCUCAUCUUUACUCCUGUUGUAGAACCUAUGUUUGUAAGAAUGUUCGGGGAGCAUACACGGAUAACAUGUCUUUGUAUUAUGUGUUAACCUCUUGGAAUACAGUGCAGACCUUUGUAUUAUAGUUUCGAA